ACUUACAGGCGAAAGAGAAGGAGAUUCCUGAGGGUAUACAAGUCUGAAAUGUUCAAAUUCAGUUUGAGAAAAGGAGGAACGUCCACCGUGAGACAUGGAACUAAAAGAGGGAGGUGGAUAAUGAAUAGGAAAGAAAAUGUGAAGUUGCAUAUGUUUUUUUCCCCUGCUCUUUAAAUGACCCUUGUCUUCACAUUCAUGAUGAGGCUGUUUUAAUAGUCUUCAUAAGAGGAAUUUUAAAUCACAAAACUGCUAACCUGCAGGUUAAUAAAAAUGGUAAUUUGGUAAUCUUGUAUCUGAUUUAAUUGGAUUUCAAGAACCCCUUUAAAAUGUGUUUGCAUUCUGGAAAAUUUACAUGUGCCGUGUUAAAAGGGAACUUGAAUCUCCAGCUGUCAGGAUAAUGAAUUAGACAAUUUCAUCUCUAUAAUCUUCUGACAAUCUCCGCUUGUACUUUCCUGUCACAGUUAUCCAUUAAAGCAAUGAAUUACCUAAA